rnacentral:tRNA from 1 species
GCGUGGAUAGUAUAAUGGUAGUAUGUAAGCUUCCCAAGCUUGAGACCCGGGUUCAAUCCCCGGUCCGCGCA